GGACGGGGCAGAGGAGGUGUGUUUUGUCAUCACCAAUGACAAACACGCCUCCUCUCAAAGUGAGCAUGUUGGUUCAAUGCUCUUCCAGGGCAGACCAUGCGCAGUGCUCUGCUGAAGAGCUCUAGCAUGAGAAAAAAGUCCUGUAUUUGUUCUGCACAGUGCAAGCAAAUUUAAUAACAUGCUUGCACUGUGUUUCCUUGCAACUUGUCUCUGGUGUCUCUAUAAAUGGAUA